UAUUGUCUCGGUGGUUUGGCACCUUUUUGUCUUAAGAUAUUAUAUAAUUUAUUAUAAUUAAAAGGAAAAAUACAAACAAACAAAAAAAAAGAAAAAGAGCGUACGCUGUGUACGCAGAAAUACUAAAAUUACCAAAAUAAAUAAAAAAGAAGGGUUUUAUCUUAGAUAUUAGAUCUCAACCUCCACUAAUCAAUGUUUCAGUAUAUAGUGUAAUAUUUAAAAAAUAUAAUAUAAUAUAAUAUAAAUUAAAUUAAAUUAAAUUAAAUUAAAUAAAUAAAUUAGUAAUUUUAAAAAUAAAAUCUUAGUGCCUCCCUACCUGCGGUACCUGCCCUUUAGGGGGAGGGGAGGCAGCGAAGCUGCCGAUUCUUAAUUAUUUCAUUAAAGUAACAAAAAUUUGUAUUUACCCUUACGCUACUAUCCCUAUACCUCCCCUAUCCCUGCCCUCCCACCCUAAAGGGAUAGGGGAGGGAAGGCUGGGUGGUUAGGCCCCCUCCCCUAAAGGGAAGGGAGGGUGGGUGCCGUACGGCGGGCAGGGACCCUUUUUUUAUAUAAUAAUUUAUAAUAUUAAAAAAAACAUAAAAUUAAAAAAAGACAUCGGGGAACUUAAAAAGCGA
rnacentral:rRNA from 1 species